UUGCUGAAGUCAUUCAUUCUUCUGCGUCGCCGAGCUACACCAGUGCCGUCGCCGAGCUGCAGCCUGCGCCGUCGACGAGCUACAGCCUGCGCUGUCGACGAGCUACAGCCAUCACCGUCGCUGAGCUUCAUCCACCGCCGUCUCCUCCCCUCAAACCGGCGGAAUUCUGUUUUCUCGGCUCCACCCUUGUCCACAGCUCUAACCUCCAAUUUUUGAAGAAUUAAGGGUUCAUUGGGUUCAUUUGAGCACUCUCUUCCACCCCUCUUUUACUUCACAUUUACACAUAGCUCAUUCAAGAAAACAGAAACAAAAAUGGGCGUUAAAAUGAGACAGAAGACCAUCUAGAUCAAACGUUAUAGUCAUCUUAUCUGAGCAGUUAUGGCUAUAAAAGGUGCAUACAAGAUUCUGUGAUAUCUUAGAUGUUAAUGCUUUGGUCUCACUGAUUUCUCACAUUAUCAAAUAGUUGAUCUCUUUCAUGGUGAUGAGUUGUCUCUUAUUCAACAAGCGGAGCUAGGAGAUUUAUAGCUUGGAGUUGAAGAGAAGAAUUUAGCUCCAAGGGUAAGCCGCUUUCCUUUUAUUUUCUCUUAUUCAUUGUCAUGCCUACACUCAUUUGUUUAGGAGCAUGCCUUAGUGUUAGAAAUUGGUGGCUAGGCUUGGGGUGGAGCUUUCCUAGC